rnacentral:rRNA from 1 species
AGUGAACGCUGGCGGCGUGCCUAACACAUGCAAGUCGAACGAACCUGAUCUUCGGAAAAGGUUAGUGGCGCACGGGUGAGUAACACGUAGGUGACCUGCCCUGGAGUGGGGGAUAACUUCUCGAAAGAGAGGCUAAUACCGCAUACGCUCGGCCAUUCAGUUGGUCGAGUAAAGCUCCGGCGCUCCAGGAGGGGCCUGCGUCCGAUUAGCUAGUUGGUGAGGUAAUGGCUCACCAAGGCGAUGAUCGGUAGCUGGUCUGAGAGGACGAUCAGCCACACUGGCACUGACACACGGGCCAGACUCCUACGGGAGGCAGCAGUGAGGAAUAUUGGUCAAUGGGCGAAAGCCUGAACCAGCGACGCCGCGUGAGGGAUGAAGGCCUUCGGGUCGUAAACCUCUUUUCUGGGAGAAGAGACAAGGACGGUAUCCCAGGAAUAAGUCUCGGCUAACUACGUGCCAGCCGCCGCAGUAACAC